AACGCUGGCGUUCGGCUUAAACAGGCAAGUCGAGCGGGCGUAGCAAUACGUCAGCGGCAGACGGGUGUGUAACGCGUGGGAACGUACCUUUUGGUUCGGAACAACACAGGGAAACUUGUGCUAAUACCGGAUACGCCCUUACGGGGAAAGAUUUAUCGCCGAUUGAGCGGCCCGCGUCCGAUUAGCUAGUUGGUGAGGUAACGGCUCACCAAGGCGACGAUCGGUAGCUGGUCUGAGAGGAUGACCAGCCUCACUGGGACUGAGACACGGCCCAGACUCCUACGGGAGGCAGCAGUGGGA
rnacentral:rRNA from 1 species